GUAUUAUAAGGGGAGAGACGCAUGGCUGACCUCAUCCAUACUAAGAGGAAAGGCUCCUGGCUUACCUCAAGAGAGACAUCUGGCCGACCUCAGGCAUCCUAAGGGGAGAGGCACCUGACCUACCUCAAUCAUCCUAACAGAAUUGACACCUGUCUGGCCUCAGGCAUUCUAAUAGGAGAGAAACCUGGCCGACCUCAGGAAUUCUAAGGGGAAAGACACAUGGCCAACCUCAGGCAUUCUAACAGGGUGUCCUCUCUCCGCUCGGGACAGAAGGGACAGAGGUCCCUUCCCUCUGUCUCUGUACAAGGCAGAUUCUUCCUUCUUUUUUUGCCUAUUAAAGUCUCCACUCCUUAAAACCACUCCACGUGUGUCCGUGUCAUUUUAUCUAAAUUGGCACAAGACAAAGGACCUUCGUGUUCCUCCAGUCAUCGGAGCUGUAUCAUUUUGGUGCUUUGGCCAGGAAUCUGAGGUAUAACAUUCAUCAGAGCG
rnacentral:lncRNA from 1 species